rnacentral:misc_RNA from 1 species
GAAAUGCGAUAAGUAAUGUGAAUUGCAGAAUUCAGUGAAUAAUCGAAUCUUUGAACGCACAUUGCGCCCGCCAGUAUUCUGGCGGGCAUGCCUGUUCGAGCGUCAUUUCAACCAUCAAGCCCCCGGCUUGUGUUGGGGACCUGCGGCUGCCCGCAGGCCCUGAAAAACAGUGGCGGGCUCGCUGUCACACCGAGCGUAGUAGCAUACAUUCUCGCUCAGGGCGUGCUGCGGGUUCCGGCCGUUAAACGACCUUCAUAACCCAAGGUUGACCUCGGAUCAGGUAGGAAGACCCGCUGAACUUAAGC